rnacentral:rRNA from 1 species
CCUACGGGAGGCAGCAGUGAGGAAUAUUGGUCAAUGGACGAGAGUCUGAACCAGCCAAGUAGCGUGAAGGAUGACUGCCCUAUGGGUUGUAAACUUCUUUUAUAAAGGAAUAAAACGAGGCACGUGUGCCUUUUUGCAUGUACUUUAUGAAUAAGGAUCGGCUAACUCCGUGCCAGCAGCCGCGGUAAUACGGAGGAUCCGAGCGUUAUCCGGAUUUAUUGGGUUUAAAGGGAGCGUAGAUGGGUUGUUAAGUCAGUUGUGAAAGUUUGCGGCUCAACCGUAAAAUUGCAAUUGAUACUGGAAGUCUUGAGUACAGUUGAGGUAGGCGGAAUUCGUGGUGUAGCGGUGAAAUGCUUAGAUAUCACGAAGAACUCCGAUUGCGAAGGCAGCUUACUAAACUGCCACUGACAUUGAUGCUCGAAGGUGUGGGUAUCAAACAGGAUUAGAUACCCCAGUAGUC